CUCGCCGGGAAUUCAGAAACCUGUUUGAGCCGUUUCUGUAGGGCUGAACCUUGUUAUUUAGUAAAUAUUUAUUUAGCUCUCUGAGGACUCAGAACUAAUCACUGUCACUUCUCUUUAAUAAUAAAUGGUGAACUUCAAACGCGGCAGAACUCCACCGACUAAUCAGUGCUCUCCGGGAGGUGCAAAACUGCAAUCCGCCAGCGGACAUGAAAGACUGAACAUUUCCUGUUCCCACUCGCGGUGGCCCAGAAUAAACUUAAACCAAGUGAGAGAUGUUGAUGGCGGCCGCCCCCACCGCGCGCCGACCCUGGGAGCCAGGAAUCCAUCUGCCCGCGGCCGAGCGCGCCGCCCCUUCCCCUUUCGCCCCAGGGACCCUCAAAGCCCGCUGCUCUGCUGCUCCACAAUCUGGGCUGCUGCUUCCUUGGGCUUUUAAGGUUGUCUUUUAAAUUCGCUAUUCAGGUGCAAACCAAUUAGCCCUUUCCUUGUUCCCGAGCGAGCGGUGGAGAGCGCCCGGCGCCCCCUCGCCGACGGAAACUCGCGGGCUCCGCGCAGUGGGCUCCUUCCUCGCCGCCGCUCGCUGGCUGUCAAAGAGGUCAGCGCGCCGGGUGGCAUUGACGCCAGCCUUCCAGAAUUUGGUUCUCAAAGUCUUUUUUUAUUUACUAGGAAAGGUGUGAAAAAAGAUUGGAAGCACUUGGGCUCACUGAAAGAACGAAGAGGGUGUUUUCAGUGAUGAGCUUGGAGUGCCCCUCUGUGGAAUAACGUGAGCACUACAGCUUCUUUCUCACAGGGCUGCAACUGCGGCCAGAGCCACUUGGGAUCCAAGCCUCAUCUGCGACCUACACCACAGCUCAUGACAAGGCCGGAUCCUUAAUCUACUGAGUGAGGACAUGGUUGGAACCCGCACCCUCAUGGAUACUAGUCAGAUUCUCAGAUUCCCAGGGGGAAAAAGCAGUGCAAAUAAAUGAGGAUCACACAAUCAUCGCCACCAGCUCAGGGCCUCUCUGGGGUUGGAUUUAGUGAUGCAUCUCCUUGGACUCAUGCGGCAUGGAGAAGCUUGAACUGAGAUUCUUGGAAAAGGCAGAGAGGUCAAGAGGAAGAAAGGAAAUCCAGGAAGAAGAGACUCCAAGGUUUCAAUUGGAGACAAAUUCCAUCUACACAUUCUACAAAGAGCCCCUAUAAGAACUGUUAAGACCCUGAGAUGCUCGUGUGUCCGUGAUCUGGCCUCAAAUAAGAAGAAGUUCUUUCUGGUUCUGGACCAGCACACCCACCCUGAUGCUGAGGAGCAUAAGAGCAAGUUUAGAGGUCAGUGAUGGAGUAUUCAUUUUAGGAAAGAUAAUGGAGACAAUAUCAAAACUGCAAAUGGAGUACUGUAUCAGAGUUUAAGUAGCAACUUGAUACAACACAACAGAUGGAGCUAAAACUGAUGUAUGCAACCUAAAAACUGGCAUUUCUCCAAAUAUAAUCUUUAAUUAAUUAACACAGGAGAAAAGUUUCAUUUUAUUGUCUGACAUAUCAAAACAAUUCAAUAAAGUAAAAACAAGAUGCCAUUCAUAAUUCUAGUGCAACUUGUGGAGCAUUCAGACAUUGAAAUUGUCAUUAAUUACUAAGUUAGAGUAAGGCCUAUUCAUUAGAAGUCACAUGAUUAUAUUAUUCAAGGUUAAAUUAGAUUUACACCUUUAUGUGCAGGUACAUUAGUAAAAACAACAUAUAUAAAAUAAUACAGAGGAAAUCAUAUACAUACGUAUGCGUUUGAAAAGUUUUUUUACCUUUCCUGUUGUGAUUGGGAGGGCCUUUUUUUUCUUUUUUCUUUUUUUUUUUUUGCUAUUUUAGGGCCACACCUGCAGGUGCCUUGGGUGCAGCCCUAAAAAGACAAAAAAAAAAAAAAAAAAAAAAAAAAAAAAAAAA
ensembl:lncRNA